rnacentral:rRNA from 1 species
UACGUAGGGGGCAAGCGUUGUCCGGAAUCAUUGGGCGUAAAGAGCGUGUAGGCGGCCUGAUAAGUCGGUUGUGAAAGUCAAGGGCUCAACCCUUGAAUGCCGGCCGAUACUGUCAGGCUAGAGUCCGGAAGAGGCGAGUGGAAUUCCUGGUGUAGCGGUGAAAUGCGCAGAUAUUGGGAAGAACACCAGUGGCGAAGGCGGUUCUCUGGGACGGUACUGACGCUGAGACGCGAAAGCGUGGGGAGCGAACAGG